rnacentral:rRNA from 1 species
AUGGGCUCCCUCGCCGCCGCCGACGAGCCGCUGCCUCCUCUCCGGUACCCUCCGGCCCGCCGCGACGGCGACAUUGUGGAUGACUACCAUGGCGUUCUUGUGCCGGACCCCUACAGAUGGAUGGAGGAGCUGGAGUCGGAGGAGGUGAAGGAGUACGUGGGCGCGCAGGCGGCCCUGGCGAACGCCGUGCUCGCCACCUGCGACCACCGCGGGCGCCUGCGCGGGCAGCUCACGGCGCUGCUCGACCACCCGCGCUACCGCGCCCCCUUCAAGCGCGCCGGCACCUACUUCUACUUCCACAACCCCGGCCUCCUCCCCCACAGCGCCCUCUACGUCCAGCACGGGCUGGGCGGCGAGCCGAGCGUGCUGCUGGACCCGGGCGAGCUCAGCGACGACGCCACGGUGUCGCUCUCCAUGAUCGGCGUCAGCGACGACGGCGAGCACCUCGCCUACGGCACCAGCGCCAGCGGCAGCGACUGGGUCACCAUCAGCGUCAUGCGCGUCCGCGACAGGCGCCGCCUCCCCGACGCCCUGUCCUGGGUCAAGUUCUCGCGCAUCGCCUGGACCAGCGACGGCAUGGGCUUCUUCUACUCGCGCUUCCCGGCUCCAAAGGACGACGACGGCGCGCCGGAGUCCGGGAUCAGGACCGACGUUAACCUCAACCACGAGGUCUACUACCAUUUCCUCGGAACUGACCAGUCUGACGAUGUCAUGUGCUGGAAGGACCCCGAGCAUCCAAAGUACAUAUACACCCCCGAAGUUACAGAGGACGGCAUGUACGUGCUCCUGUCAGUUUCAGAGAGUUCAGAGCCGGUCAACAAGCUGUACUACUGCGACCUCUCAGCUCUUUCCCAUGGGCUUUCAGGCAUGAAAGCAAAAGGAACCCACGAAAUGCUCCCCUUUGUGAAGCUCGUGGACGAAUUCGAGGCCUUCUACGGAGUCGUCGCCAACGACGGCACCCGAUUCACAAUCCAAACAAACAAAGACGCUCCGAGGUACAAACUGUCGCGGGUCGACGUCAACGACCCGCAGUCCUGGACCGAUGUUCUGCCUGAAGACGACAAGGCUGUCCUAGAAUACGCUUGUGCUGUCCACGGUGACAAGCUUCUGGUGAACUAUUUGUCGGAUGUCAAGUACGUGCUGCAGAUGAGGAGCCUGGCCACCGGAGAGCUGCUCCACGGCAUACCCAUCGACAUAGGCAGCGUCAACGGGAUCACCGGUAGGCGUGGCGACUCCGAGGUGUUCGUCGAGUUCUCGAGCUUCCUCACUCCGGGGAUCGUCUACAGGUGUGAUCUCAGCUCCGGGGCUCCUGAGAUGAGCAUAUACAGAGAGAUCACCGUCCCGGGCUUCGAUCGCACGGAUUUCGAAGCGAAGCAGGUGUUUUACCCGAGCAAGGACGGGACCAAGAUCCCGAUGUUCGUGGUGUCGAGGAAGAAGAUCGUCCUGGACGGGUCGCACCCGGCGCUGCUCUUCGGCUACGGCGGGUUCGGCAUGAGCAUGACGCCGCAGUUCAGCGCGGCCCGCGUCGUCCUCAUGAGGAACCUGGGGUUCGUGACGUGCGUCGCCAACAUCCGGGGCGGCGGCGAGUACGGGGAGGACUGGCACAAGGCCGGCUCGCUCGCGAACAAGCAGAACUGCUUCGACGACUUCAUCGCCGCCGGCGAGUUCCUCGUGUCCGCCGGGUACACGAGCCCGAGCCGGCUGUGCAUCGAAGGCGGGAGCAACGGCGGCCUCCUGGUCGCCGCCUGCAUCAACCAGCGGCCCGGUCUCUUCGGCUGUGCUCUGGCUCACGUCGGUGUCAUGGACAUGCUUCGGUUCCACAAGUUCACCAUAGGUCGUGCAUGGGCUUGCGAUUUCGGCUGCUCGGAGAAGGAGGAGGAAUUCCACUGGCUUAUCAAGUACUCCCCUCUGCACAACGUGAGGCGGCCGUGGGAGAAGGGCGCCGCCGGCGACCAGCAGUACCCUCCCACCAUGCUGCUGACGGCGGACCACGACGACCGCGUUGUGCCGUCGCACACGCUCAAGUUCCUCGCGACGAUGCAGCACGUCCUGUGCAGGAGCGUGGAGCAGAGCCCGCAGAGCAACCCCAUCGUCGCCCGGAUCGACCGCAAGAGCGGCCACGGCUGCGGCCGCUCCACGCAGAAGAUCAUCGACGAGGCUGCGGAUCGUUACGCGUUCGCGGCCAAGAUGAUGGGGGUCUCUUGGAUCGACUGA